UACGAAGGGGGCUAGCGUUGCUCGGAAUCACUGGGCGUAAAGGGUGCGUAGGCGGGUCUUUAAGUCAGGGGUGAAAUCCUGGAGCUCAACUCCAGAACUGCCUUUGAUACUGAGGAUCUUGAGUUCGAGAGAGGUGAGUGGAACUGCGAGUGUAGAGGUGAAAUUCGUAGAUAUUCGCAAGAACACCAGUGGCGAAGGCGGCUCACUGGCCCGAUACGGACGCUGAGGCACGAAAGCGUGGGGAGCAAACAGG
rnacentral:rRNA from 1 species